rnacentral:lncRNA from 1 species
UGUAUGUGGUGCUGAGGAUCGAACCCGGGCCGGGCCGCAAGCAUGCCAGGCGAGCGCGCUACCGCUUGAGACACAUCCCCAGCCCCAAACUGCCAAUUUGUUUUUUUUGUUUUUUUUGUUUUUUUUUUAGCGAGAGAGGUUUAAUAUUUAUUUUUUAGUUAUCGGCGAACACAUCUUUGUUUGUAUGUGGUGCUGAGGAUCGAACCCGGGCCGCACGCAUGCCAGGCGAGCGCGCUACCACUUGAGCCACAUCCCCAGCCCGCCAAUUUGUUUUUAAUGGUAUGAACUAAUAAAGCUCAUCCAGAAGAGAGAGAGAGAGAGAGAGAGAGAGAGUAGGAAUAGCCCUAUAUAUAUAUUAAAGAAUUUGGAUUUAUAAUUAAAAACCUAUCCACAAAGAAAAUUCCAGGCACAGGUAGUUUUGUUACAGAAUUCUACCAAAAACUUUGUACUCUACAUAAAUUAUUCCAGAAAACUUAAGAAGAAACACUCCCCAACAUAUUCUGUGAGGCUUGUAUUAACUUGAUAUAAUUCAUGAACAAAGAAACAAAUAUUUAAUGAAUAAAAUUAAACAAUAUAUUUUUUAAAAGAGAGAAUACAUUUUGACCAAUAAAAUGUGCAUCCCAAUAAUUCAAGACUGAUUUGACCUGUCAGAAACAGUCAGUAAGCAAGCUUGCUGUUUGUCAUAGAGGAAGGACUACUUCAUCCUUAAAGGUUGCUCCCUGCAAACACAAAACUGAGAAAUGCCCCAGAAUGAGAAUGAUCAGGGUCUUGCAUUCUUGGAAUACCUCUCAAUAUGUACAGCAGUAUAAGAGAUGUAUCCGAAAGUAUCACUCAAUUCCUAUCCAAUUCCCCUUCUCAUCCCCUUCCUUGUUGGAAUAACUUUCAGUCUCAGCUAGCAGCUACUAGCAGCUCAGAAGUGUCUGAAAUAUCCACCUUCCUUCAGGCCUGACAGGAGUGCCUGCAGGAUGGGGUGAAACCACAUCCUCAGCACUUGUGGUUAGCAUUGCCAAACUGCCUGGUGGGGAAACUGAGAGUCAGGGGUUUCAGGGCAUGAAACCUCUGACUCAGUAAGGGCCAAAGACCCUUCCAGAUUUCUUUCUGCCACGACAGCAAUAUUUAGAGUUUCCUCACAGUACGGUUACGUUAGGCAGAAGAUGAUUGGCUUAUGGAUAUUGUCUUGCUUAGGUAUGAUUGACAGGCAUGCCCCACUCAAACCCUAUAACAGUUGUGUGCAUUCCAAAAAUUAACUGAGCUACUGGAUGAUGACCUGAGGUGGGUCUCCAGCCAGUUCUCUCACCAGCUCCCAGAGUCUGUGUGUUGAAUCCGUGUCUCUACCCCCCGCAACAAGGUAGCCGAGUGACCAACAACCAUGAAGGGACUAGGAACACAUGCACUUCCUCUUUUUCUUUUUUUUUUUUUAAUAGAAACUCUCUGGGUUUGGAUAUGAGGUGUCCCUCAAAAGCUCAUGUGUGAGACAAUGCAGGAAUGUUCACAGGUGAUAAGAUUCGAUUAUGAUCACUGUAACCUGGAUUAAUAAUUUGAAUGUAUUAAUGAUCAUGAAAAUAGGUAGCUAGGGUAUGGAGGAAGUAUGUUUCUGGCAGCAUGCCCUUGGGGAUUAGGUUAUCCCUACUCACAGUCUCUCUGCUUCCUGGCUAUAAAGAAAUGAGCAUCUUUCCUCCAUCAUGCCCUUGCACCAUGGUGUUCUGACUCACCUUGGGCCCAGAUCUAUGAAGUCAGUCAACUACAGAACUGUGAGCCAAAAUAAAUUCUUCCUUCCCUAAGUUGUUCUUGUCAGGUCUGUGGGCCACAGUGAUGAAGAGCUGACUAACACCUCCUCCUUUUUACUUUUUGUUUAAAUAAUAGAUCCAAGCUGAGAGAGGUAGCACAAGCCUAUAAUUCUAGCAACUUGGGAAACUUAGACUGGAGGAUCACUUGAACUCAUAAGUUGGAUACCAGCUUGGGCAAAGGAAAAUGAUCAAAUAAAUAAACAAAUGAAUAAAUAAAUCCACAUUCAAGGAUAAAGUAUAUUAAAAAGUAAAAUCCAAGCUGAAUAUGGCAGUACAUGCCUAUAGUUUUAAUUACUUGGGAGGCUGAGGCAGGAAUCACUUGAACCCAGGAGUUCAGGGCUAGCCUGGGCAACAGAGAAGACACUGCCAAGAAGAAAAAAGAGAAGGAGAAGGAGAAAGAAAAAUGAAAAUUCUAGCUAACACUAACAAUUCAUGCUGCCCUGAUCAGUGAACAAUAGGACUUGUUAUCACCCAAUGUAUGCCUGGCUCAUGAACUCUUAUCUCUUCUCCACAGUCUAGUUUUCAACACUUAAAUAGCAUAAGCACAAACUCCUUCUUACUCUUAGUUAAAGAAUCCUGACUUUUCCCAGUGAGUAAUUUUUUUAUUUUUUAUUUUAUUUUUUUUUUUUUUGCUUUCUA